GAUGGACGCUGGCGGCGUGCCUAAUACAUGCAAGUCGAGCGAACGGACGAGAAGCUUGCUUCUCUGAUGUUAGCGGCGGACGGGUGAGUAACACGUGGAUAACCUACCUAUAAGACUGGGAUAACUUCGGGAAACCGAAGCUAAUACCGGAUAAUAUUUUGAACCGCAUGGUUCAAAAGUGAAAGACGGUCUUGCUGUCACUUAUAGAUGGAUCCGCGCUGCAUUAGCUAGUUGGUAAGGUAACGGCUUACCAAGGCAACGAUGCAUAGCCGACCUGAGAGGGUGAUCGGCCACACUGGAACUGAGACACGGUCCAGACUCCUACGGGAGGCAGCAGUAGGGAAUCUUCCGCAAUGGGCGAAAGCCUGACGGAGCAACGCCGCGUGAGUGAUGAAGGUCUUCGGAUCGUAAAACUCUGUUAUUAGGGAAGAACAUAUGUGUAAGUAACUGUGCACAUCUUGACGGUACCUAAUCAGAAAGCCACGGCUAACUACGUG
rnacentral:rRNA from 1 species